rnacentral:rRNA from 1 species
GAUGAACGCUGGCGGCGUGCUUAACACAUGCAAGUCGAACGAUGAUUCCCGGUGCUUGCCCCGGGUGGAUUAGUGUCGAAUGGGUGAGUAUCACGUGAAUAACCUGCCCUUGACUCUGGCAUAAGCCUGGGAAUCUGGGUCUAAUACCAGAUACAACCACUCACCGCAUGGUGUGAUGGUGUAAAGCUUUAUCGGUUUUGGAUGGACUCUCGGACUAUCACCUAUACGGUGAGGUAAUGGCUCACCGUGGCGAUGACCGGGAGCCGGACUGAAAGGGUGACCGGACACACUGGGACUGAGACGCGGCCCAGACUCCUACCGGAGGCAUCCGUGGAGGAAUAUUGCACAAUGAUCGAAAGCCCGAUGCAACCACGCCGCGUGUGCGAUGACGGCCUUCAGAUUGUUCACCACUUUCAACCUGCAAUAAGCUUUUUGUAACAGGACCUGCCCAGAAUGCGACGGCUAACUUCAUGCCAUCACCCGCGGCAAUACAUAAGGCGCGAGCGUUAUCCGGAAUUAUUGGGCGGAAAGAGCUCGUAGGCGGUUUGUCUCGUCUGCUGUGAUAGCCCGGGGCUUAACUCCGGCUGUGCACUGCGUACGGAACUGCUAGAGUGCAGUACGGGAGACUGGAAAUUCCUGGUGUAGCGGUGAAAUGCGCAGAUAUCAGGAGGAACACCGAUGGCGAAGGCAGGUCUCUGGACUGUUACUGACGCUGAGGAUCGAAAGCAUGGGGAGCGAACAGGAUUAGAUACCCUGGUAGUCCAUGCCGUAAACGUUGGGCACUAGGUGUGGGGGACAUUGCACUCUUUCCGCGCCGUAGCUAACGCAUUAAGCGCUCCGCCUGGGGAGUACGUCCGCAAGGAUGAAACUCAAAGGAAUUGACGGGGGCCCGCACAAGCGGCGGAGCAUGCGGAUUAAUUCGAAGCAACGCGAAGAACCUUACCAAGUCUUGACAUACAUCGGACCGCCCUAGAGAUAGGCUUUCCCUUCGGGGCUGGUGUACAGGUGGUGCAUGGUUGUUGUCAGCUUGUGUUGUGAGAUGUUGGGUUAAGUCCCGCAACGAGCGCAACCCUUGUCCUACGUUGCCAGCCAGUAAUGGUGGGCACUCAUGGGAGACUGCCGGGGUCAACUCGGAGGAAGGUGGGGAUGACGUCAAAUCAUCAUGCCCCUUAUGUCUUGGGCUUCACGCAUGCUACAAUGGCCGGUACAGUGGGAUGCGAUACUGUGAGGUGGAGCUAAUCCCUAAAAGCCGGUUUCAGUUUGGAUCGAAGUUUGCAACUCGACUUCCUGAAGUUGGAGUCGCUAGUAAUUGCAGAUCAGCAAUGCUGCGGUGAAUACGUUCCCGGGCCU